rnacentral:lncRNA from 1 species
GCCUCAGUCAGUUCAGGCAGCUAAAGGGAGGGGGAUUUCCUCCUAGUCCUCUCCCUAGAGCUAAAUAUGCAUCUGGGAAAAAUUAGGCUCUGGAGCACAGAGGUAUUUUUCUAGAGGAAAAAGAACUGAACUCCCAGCACUAGGUAAAACUGCAAAAAGAAAAACACCUGUGCCCAGGCACUAGCUACAAGGCCACACCAGAAAAGGAAAGCUGGGUCCUGGAAGCUUCAGGACAGGAACUCUUCCUUGGUCAAGUUUUCCCCAGCACCUAGCACAUAGGAAGGUGCUUGAUGAGUGAGUGUUAAAUGAACCUGUGAGUGCUCAGGAUGAUUUCCUGAUAAUUGGGUUCAGGAAUCUACUGGGAGGAGCUUAAACCUAGAAGUUCCCUUUUUGAAAGUCUCAAAUAUGGUUCCCUAACUUAGAGAAGACAGAUGAUGUGGGAAGGAGGCCUGAGGAGAGGAUGCAGGCUGGCAGAAGGGAGCAGGGCCCAUGCCUGACGGCCCACCCAGAAACACCCAUCUGCUGACCUCUGACCUGGGAACGAGUGAGUGGCUACAACCUCAGCUGAACCCCACAUGGUGACAUCUUCCAGCAAGGCAAGGACAUCAGCACCUCACGCCCAUUUACAGGCCCCUCACAUGAGCCACUGCUCCUUCUCUUUGAUGAAGUGCUCCGCCCAGCGGCGUGUCAGCUCCAGGUACAGGCUGGGCUGGUGAGGCAGGUAGUCCAAAUACAGGCGGGUGGGUGUCUUCUUGGGAAUGGCCUUCUCAAUCUGGGUGCCCUCGUGCCACUCAUUGAAGGAGGUAAUGGAAACGAUCUCGGGCCUCACUGUCAGGGCCGCCUGCAGGGCCGUCUCAUAGUACUUGCCAUUGACCCUGUUGCGCGUAUUGUGGUUGUUCCAGGGCCGAAUGCUGGUGUCUAUGUAGCCAGGCCCCACACUGGGGAUGAACAUGAGGUUGUUGGCAUCACAAAAGUUCUUCACAGCUUUCCAGUUCUGAUGGGAAGAACCAAAGGAGAAACCAUUGGAGGCAAAGUAGGUGUACAUGCCGUCAAAUCCGGCGGCCAGGAUAUCGUGGGUGUGGCCCUCCUCCACCAGCAGCGCUAUGAAGACCCCAUCGUAGGGCGUGUUGCGGAUCGAAUGGGGCCCGUUUGGUGUCAGGAGGUGGGCCCAGGCCUCAGGGGACGUCAGGUAUGAGUCGUAGAUAUAAAAGAGUGGGAGGCUCUUGCCCAUGCUGUUCUUAUAGCGGUAAAAUGCACCAUGGGAGCCAUACCUGAGAAGGAGAAAGAAGAGCCUCAGCUGGAUGGGAGAGACCAGCACAGCUGUAGGACCUCCCGU